rnacentral:rRNA from 1 species
GACGAACGCUGGCGGCAUGCCUAACACAUGCAAGUCUAGGGGUAGCAAUACCACUGGCGCACGGGUGAGUAACACGUAGGUUAUCUGCCCCCAUCACAGACAUAACCCCGGGAAACCGGGGCUAAUAUCUGAUGAGGUCGCGAGAUCAAAGCUUCGGCGGAUGGGGAUGAGCCUGCGGCUGAUUAGCUAGUUGGUGAGGUAAUGGCUCACCAAGGCGACGAUCAGUAGCUGGUCUGAGAGGACGAACAGCCACACUGGAACUGAGACACGGUCCAGACUCCUACGGGAGGCAGCAGUGAGGAAUAUUGGUCAAUGGGAGCAAUCCUGAACCAGCAAUGCCGCGUGUGGGAUGACAGGGCUUCGCCUUGUAAACCACUGUCGGACGGGACGAAAGGAGGCCUCGGGGCCUCUGGGACGGUACCGUCGAAAGGAAGGGUCGGCUAACUACGUGCCAGCAGCCGCGGUAAU